rnacentral:tRNA from 1 species
GCGGAUGUCAUAUAACGGCUUAUUAUCUCAGCCUUCCAAGCUGAUGACGAGGGUUCGACUCCCUUCAUCCGCUCUA